GGGUCAGUAGGUUGGUCGUGCCACCGGUACGUACUGGUCUCACUGAUUCCUCCUUCCUGAAGAACCGUAAUGCCAUUAAUUUGGUGUUGCGGGGAAACAGGACUGUUACUUUGGAAAAAUUAGAGUGUUUAAAGCAAGCUGACGCUUGAAUACAUUAGCAUGGAAUAAUGAAAUAGGACGAUCGAUCCUAUUUUGUUGGUUUCUAGGAUUGACGUA
rnacentral:rRNA from 1 species